ACUUAAAUUGAAGAGUUUGAUCAUGGCUCAGAUUGAACGCUGGCGGCAGGCCUAACACAUGCAAGUCGAGCGGUAACACAGAGAGCUUGCUCUCGGGUGACGAGCGGCGGACGGGUGAGUAAUGUCUGGGAAACUGCCUGAUGGAGGGGGAUAACUACUGGAAACGGUAGCUAAUACCGCAUAACGUCGCAAGACCAAAGUGGGGGACCUUCGGGCCUCAUGCCAUCAGAUGUGCCCAGAUGGGAUUAGCUAGUAGGUGGGGUAAUGGCUCACCUAGGCGACGAUCCCUAGCUGGUCUGAGAGGAUGACCAGCCACACUGGAACUGAGACACGGUCCAGACUCCUACGGGAGGCAGCAGUGGGGAAUAUUGCACAAUGGGCGCAAGCCUGAUGCAGCCAUGCCGCGUGUAUGAAGAAGGCCUUCGGGUUGUAAAGUACUUUCAGCGAGGAGGAAGGCGUUAAGGUUAAUAACCUUGGCGAUUGACGUUACUCGCAGAAGAAGCACCGGCUAACUCCGUGCCAGCAGCCGCGGUAAUACGGAGGGUGCAAGCGUUAAUCGGAAUUACUGGGCGUAAAGCGCACGCAGGCGGUCUGUCAAGUCGGAUGUGAAAUCCCCGGGCUCAACCUGGGAACUGCAUUCGAAACUGGCAGGCUAGAGUCUUGUAGAGGGGGGUAGAAUUCCAGGUGUAGCGGUGAAAUGCGUAGAGAUCUGGAGGAAUACCGGUGGCGAAGGCGGCCCCCUGGACAAAGACUGACGCUCAGGUGCGAAAGCGUGGGGAGCAAACAGGAUUAGAUACCCUGGUAGUCCACGCCGUAAACGAUGUCGACUUGGAGGUUGUGCCCUUGAGGCGUGGCUUCCGGAGCUAACGCGUUAAGUCGACCGCCUGGGGAGUACGGCCGCAAGGUUAAAACUCAAAUGAAUUGACGGGGGCCCGCACAAGCGGUGGAGCAUGUGGUUUAAUUCGAUGCAACGCGAAGAACCUUACCUACUCUUGACAUCCAGAGAACUUAGCAGAGAUGCUUUGGUGCCUUCGGGAACUCUGAGACAGGUGCUGCAUGGCUGUCGUCAGCUCGUGUUGUGAAAUGUUGGGUUAAGUCCCGCAACGAGCGCAACCCUUAUCCUUUGUUGCCAGCG
rnacentral:rRNA from 1 species